UACGUAGGGGGCAAGCGUUGUCCGGAUUUAUUGGGCGUAAAAGGCUUGUAGGUGGCCACGCCAAGUCGGAUGUGAAAUCUCCCGGCUCAACUGGGAGGGGUCAUUCGAUACUGGCGGGCUCGAGGCCGGUAGGGGGAAGUGGAAUUCCCGGUGUAGUGGUGGAAUGCGUAGAUAUCGGGAGGAACACCAGUGGCGAAGGCGGCUUCCUGGACCGGUUCUGACACUGAGGAGCGAAAGCCAGGGGAGCAAACGGG
rnacentral:rRNA from 1 species